rnacentral:tRNA from 2 species
GGGAGUAUAGCUCAGUGGUAGAGCACGUGCUUAGCAUGCAUGAGGCCCUGGGUUCAAUUCCCAGUACCUCCA